AACCGUAAAGAAAAUAAUAGCACAUAAACAUCUAUCUAUUUAUAUAUAAUACAGUUUGUUCUCUCCUUAGAAGGAUUACACGUAAGAAACUAGAGUUCUUUUCCGCUGACACGUGUCUGUUUUUUUUUAUACUUUACGUUUGAAUGUGAUUUUUGGGCUUCACAAAUCGAAUUGAAUGGGCUGAAGUUUGUUAUAUCAAUUUAUCAAACUCUCAAUCUCAACCUUAUAGGCACUCUCUUCGUUGUCAACAACUAUCAUCUUCCAGUUUUUUUCCGAUUUGCUAACAGGUUCAUAGUGUUCUUCAGCUUCUGUUUUCAUGAACCGACGGUGAUGGGAAACACGAUCUGUUGUUCGUGUCGUCUGGAUUUCUUCACGCUGGCAAAGUGAAACAAGAACCGUUACAGAUGCAUUCAAUUGAAUCGUUAUCAUUAACAGCCAUUUAACUCCUCCUCUCCACUCCCAUCACAAUUGUUCAUUCACUGCAUCUGGCUUCUCUUCCAGCGGUGAAUCUACAUGUAUAAAAAGGCCAAACAACACGAAUGACUUUGGAUUUACAUAGAUGCCAAAAAUGCCAGUGAGGUCGAAGAGUUUCAUCAAAUCUUCAAGGAAAAUUAUUUCUCAGAAUAAUGGCAGUCUCAUUUAUCCUCUUCCAUGAUUUGAAGGCUGGACGUUGUUCUUCAACCGUCUAGGUCCGACUUCAAAGGUUCCGGGAAGCAAUAACGCGAUACGCGGUGGCGAGAGCAUAUGGGUUUGGACAUGAUCCUCCUCGGCUCUAAGGUUAUUCCGUUCUUAAUACUCAUGAUCAUCGGAGUUUUAAACAAAAUCCAGUGUCUAAUCUCAGAAUUUUCAUACUUUUGUUUCCAAAUCUUUAUUUUAACUUCCUGCAGUAAAGUGGUUGAAAACUAUAAUAGUAGUGCACAAGCUGCAGAGUUGCUUCUCAGAGUAACUAUAAGCUUUGGCAAUGAAUGUAAUUGAUUUUACUAACAUUUCAUAUUAUUAUCUGAGUCUUCUUAGAUUUGGUUUUGUUUGCUUUAGGAAAGAUCAUUCUGCAAGUCAAAAGGGGAGAAGAAAGAUUGUUUUCUUUAAGUUGAAACUUGGAAUUUGACUCUAAUCCAAUUAUUUUGGGUAACUGGUGCUAUGGCUCAAAUUCUGCGCGGAAGAUAGCGUCUCAAGAACCAAGUGUGAAUAGUACAGCAAUAACAAUGAGGAAGUCACCAUGGAUAGGUUUCAAAAUGAAUUGGAGAAAUCAAAGUCACUGGGUUGAAUACUGGGUUGAAUAUGAUCAAAAGGCCAACAUCGAAGCUGGUGAAUCUGUGGCAGAUGAUGAAGCUAAAUAUGGUCGAGUGAAGGGGCCAAGUCACAUUUUUCAUAAAAAGUUUUAAUACUUUUUCCUAUUGAGGAAUGGUUGAGUGGGUGAAUAUUUGGGUUUAGUAAGCUACAUAUCCGGGAUUCAACUAUUAGUUUGACCGAAUUUAGUUUUCGAGAGAUGUGGUUUACUGUUUUUUUAAAGUAUGGGGUUUUUAUUAUUUUAUAUAACGUUUCACUUUAAACUGAAAACGUUUCACUUUAAA